rnacentral:rRNA from 1 species
UACGUAGGGUGCAAGCGUUAAUCGGAAUUACUGGGCGUAAAGCGUGCGCAGGCGGUCCUUUAAGUCUGAUGUGAAAGCCCACGGCUCAACCGUGGAGGGUCAUUGGAAACUGGGGGACUUGAGUGCAGAAGAGGAAAGCGGAAUUCCACGUGUAGCGGUGAAAUUCGUAGAUAUUAGGAAGAACACCAGUGGCGAAGGCGGCUCACUGGUCCGGUACUGACGCUGAGGUGCGAAAGCGUGGGGAGCAAACAGGG